GGGGCACGAACCCGCAUCCCCUGCAUCGGCAGGCGGACUCUCAACCACUGCGCCACCAGGGAAGCCCUGCAUCACUUUUUGAUCACUCUCUGAGAGCUUGUAAGAGAAACCAUGGCAGGAGUCCCGUCACUGCGGCCAUGCUGGUCUUCUCAGCACACAUUUAAUCGGCCACACCAUGGUAAGGAGUUGGUCUUUAUCCCAAGUGUGCAUUGGAUCCACCGAAAUAUUUUAAGAAGGAGGCCGUCGCGAUGAUUGGAAACUGUGCUCUGUACAGCAGGGAGAUAACAAGAGGCAUCUGCUCUCAAGGAACUCAGUCCAGUUGGAGAAGCUGGGAACAGUUUCAAACAACUAUGUGAUCAUAACAAUUUCUUCCAUGUGCUGACUCCUCUACGCUGUGCCAGGCACUUGACAAAUUGAGGAGUCUUUUGACCUUUGGGUUUUCAAAGGAACGGGUACUGGACUUUUCAUUUCACACGUCACAAAUUUGCCUCUUCAAAAGCUGGGAAACGUCAACACCUUGGGAAAGUAGAGUGGAAAAUCUGUGGACAUCUGCUCUCAUGGACCAGGCCAUCACUAGGCUUUAGGGCCCACGACCCGACUUAGGGCCACCUUCAACCUUCUUAGCUUCGCCUAGCACACAAGGCCAGGCAGCACAUUCCCUGAAUGAGGCUGCUAGUAAAACCUUGUUUCCACAGAAAGUCAACAAUGAAGCCUUUGUGUUUUACUGGAGCGAGACAGGCUUGGAGGAGCUCGGCUUCCCACGGUGGGCUAACACCUUCGCUGGGGCCUUCGUCUCCAGCCCAGGCCCACAGAGAUGGGCGUCAGCAUUCCUCAGGGAACCCUGAGAGAAUUGGUACAGUAGCGAUGCCUGAGAAGGGAACCUGCAGCCCAGGCUUUUAUUCACCAGUAGGAUGAACUGGACAUCUGGAAAGAUGAGUAUCUCAGAACAGUUAUUACCUCCCUGUCAAAAGUUUGAUAGUUGAGCUGAGGCCUAAUAUUUCUAACAAUAAGAGCAAAAUGUUGCAAACUAAUGACUGACUUGUCCUGGAGAAAAAGGAGUGUCUGUGCCACAGAGCACUCGUCCCUGGGGCACUGCCUUGUAUGUUCAUUCUUUAGACUAGCCUUACACCUCAUAAAUCUGUCAGUCAUUUCAAAUAAAAUUUCUGUUUGUGUCGGGCGAACCAUUUCCAGCAUUUUAUCAGAACGAUCUGGCAAACUGGUAAGGCAAUGAAGACUGUAUUCCACAUUGAAAUAAGGAGAGAAAGUGAGUUUUUAUCUUAGCUGAUCAUUUCUUUGCUACCUCUAAUGCUGCACACCUAUUAAAAAGCUAGUGUCACAGUUCCUUCAGUUUGGAGAAUUUAAGUUGAAUCUUCUCAUUUGGGUUGCCAUCUGGUGUGCUACUAACAGUCUCAGAGAGUAAGAGGCCAUCUGUUAAUACUUUUUCCAGGAAGCUUUUUAUAGAGCAGUGAAGUGGUAACUCUCAAAAACACAUUGUAAUGACUUACAAGAUCUUGGGUAUCUGUACAAGUUGAGGCUGAUAUCUUAUUUCUACCAACGGUAUUUUCUUCCAUGGAGGAGAGACAGAGGAAUCAAUAAAUAUGGCGUAUUUGCAUGCAAAAAAAUGCUUAUCCCUAGUAUGUGGAGAGCCAUGAGGCUACCAAGUUAUUGGUCUUAUGGUAUUUCAAAAGGAGGAUUGUAAAUAUAUACUGAGAAGUAAUAACAGUGAUGAUGGUGUUGGUCAUCAUUGACUGAACAGUCACCGUCUUCCGCCCACUGGGCCAAGUACUUUAUGUUCAUUAUCUUAUUUUCUCAACUAUGUUUAAAAUUUUUGCUCUUAGAAGAUUCCCAGUAUAUUCAAAAUAGACUUUCUUUUUUGCAUUUGAGGUAAGCCAGUGGUGGAGAUAUCAACGUCAUGACAAAGUUUAAAAAAUGACUUGAAGAGCAGUUGGGACAAGGCUCAGGUGUCCCUUUGUGUUCAUCAGGCCACGGGAGGAGAUGUACACAGGGACACAUUUUAGAUGCAACAUCUGAAACCCAGAGAGCAGGAGGGAUUUGGUCCAUGUUGCUCAGCAAGAGUGGCAGAACCAGGACUUGAACCUGGAUCUUCUAACUUCUGUGGGGAAACUGAACUUAACCCAACUUCACUGAGGAAUGUCAAAAGAUACAACUAACCAUACGUGCUGGAUAAACUGUCAGGGGAAACUGUAAAGAACGAACGUCAAAGUCAGCCUGAUAAUUAUGAAAAACGACAUCAGAGUAACUACUGUCAAGGUAACUACCGAUGUGAAUUGAGUAUGUGCUGCUCGCUGAAAGUAGGGUGAUGGAUAACGACUGUAGCUUUAAUUCCAUGUAAACAGGUCUGAACAGCUACUGUAGCUUUGGAGUUACUUGCUAGCUCCCUGCAGGCGUUCAAGGUAUUCGCUCUGCUCGGCGGUAAUGGUUACAAUCAGCUCAUUCUAUACUGAGGAAUUGGCAUGCUCCUUUGGGUCUUGCAUUUUUCUUUUCUUUUCCUCCAAUACUUCCAGGCCAGCAAACUGCACUACAGAUGGCCUUUUCACUUCUUGCCUGAUCACUAUUAAGGAUCCAGGAGUUUUUUUCAGGUAAUGAGGGAGUAGUCCUGUGGGCAGAAACAAAACCAAACAACACAUCUUCCCUCACUUCCGCAAGCUCCUCAGUUCCCUCAUUCCAGUCAUCUGUGAAUUGGGAAGAAUAUUGCUGUUUUAUUUGGGAGCCUGCUAUCCCCUGCUGGAUACUGGACAGGCUUCUUCCACACAAGGAUGCAUGUGUGGUAGGCUGAAAAAUGGCUCCUUGAGACAUCAGGCCCUAAUCCCUUGGACCUGGAAAUGUUACCUUAUUUGAAGAAAGGAUCUUUGUGGAUGUGAUGAAGUUAAGGAUCUUGAGAUGAAGACAUUACCCUGGAUUAUCUUUAGGUGGGCCAUUUAGGUGAGCCCUAAAUGCAGUCACACGUAUCCUUAUCAGAGGGAGACAAAGGUGACACACACACACAGAGGAGGAGGCAAUAUGGAGAUGGAACAGAGAAAGAUUUGAAGAUUCUAGUUUUUUGAGGAUGCAGCCACAAGUCAAGGAAUGCUGGCAGCCACCAGAGGCUGAAAGAUGCUGAGGACAGAUUCUGCACUGGAGCUUCCGGAGGAAGUGUGGUCCUGCUAACCACUUAAU